AUUGAACGCUGGCGGCAGGCCUAACACAUGCAAGUCGAGCGGAGCGGCGGACGGGUGAGUAAUGCCUAGGAAUCUGCCUGGUAGUGGGGGAUAACGUCCGGAAACGGGCGCUAAUACCGCAUACUAUCAGAUGAGCCUAGGUCGGAUUAGCUAGUUGGUGGGGUAAAGGCCUACCAAGGCGACGAUCCGUAACUGGUCUGAGAGGAUGAUCAGUCAAAAGUGAACUGAGACACGGUCCCGGCCCCUACGGGAGGCAGCAGUGGGGAAUAUUGGAAAAUGGGGCAAAGCCUGAGCCAGCCAUGCCGGGUGUUGUAAGAAGGUCUUCGGAUUGGAAAGCACUUUAAGUUGGGAGGCGUUACCAACAGAAUAAGCACCGGCUAACUUCGUGCCAGCAGCCGCGGUAAUUC
rnacentral:rRNA from 1 species